rnacentral:rRNA from 1 species
CUAAGAAUCUUGCGCAAUGGGCGAAAGCCUGAUCCAGCAAUGCCGCGUGAGUGAUGAAGGCCUUAGGGUUGUAAAGCUCUUUUACCCGGGAUGAUAAUGACAGUACCGGGAGAAUAAGCUCCGGCUAACUCCGUGCCAGCAGCCGCGGUAAUACGGAGGGAGCUAGCGUUGUUCGGAAUUACUGGGCGUAAAGCGCACGUAGGCGGCUAUUCAAGUCAGAGGUGAAAGCCCGGGGCUCAACCCCGGAACUGCCUUUGAAACUAGGUAGCUAGAAUCUUGGAGAGGUCAGUGGAAUUCCGAGUGUAGAGGUGAAAUUCGUAGAUAUUCGGAAGAACACCAGUGGCGAAGGCGACUGACUGGACAAGUAUUGACGCUGAGGUGCGAAAGCGUGGGGAGCAAA